UAACAAGAAACAACUAUAAAACAACUAAACAACUAGGCUAUAUGAAGAGAAAAAAAUGGAAGAAAGAAAAAUAUUGGUCAGGAAAAGCUUCUGCAUGCCAUCGAAGGAUGAAGAUGAAUAGAGGCUGCUUUAGGAAAAGCUUCAAGAAAGGUUAGGGUUUGUUUUGUUAAGAAAAGUUCAUAAAUUUAAUAGAAUCAUAUAAAUGCCUACCUACUGUUUGAUGUAUGUUGUGUGUGAAAAAUUCAAAUAGUUUUAACAAUAUUAUUGAUGGAAAUGUGUAUCCUGAAAAGCUAUAUCUGACAUACCCAAGAGGGUUCUUUCGUUAGAUACAUACGAGGAUAAUUGAACCAUAGGGGAAAGAGACCUUGGUAAUUCGGAGUUCGGUCAAAAGGUAAGUAAAGUUCCGGUCAUGAUUUGAACUUGGAUUCUCCAGAACGAAUUCUGCAUCUUUAUUUUAUAAAAGAUGCAUCUUUAUUUUCUGAAAGAUUUUACUAUGAUUAACUAUGUGCAAGUCUAUGAAUUCUGAAGGGAUUUUGUAUGGUAUGUUUCUUUGUGCAACUUGAGUUUUUCACAAAACGCUAUUCAUGUAUGUUCUACUAAUUAUGUCUAAUAAUUUAAUAGGGUAAAGAUCUAUUUGAUAAUAUAAUAUUUAAAGCACACUUUAUUGCUCUAUAAACUACAAUUAGAAAUUAGAGCAAAAAGUUCACUGUGAAAUGUUUUACUGCCCAAUGAUGGAUAAAUACACUAUUGAGUGGCUACUUGGUUUUGUUCAUAGCCUGACCUGCACCAUUGCAUUCUUUCUCUCUUCAUCUCUCUCGGUCCCUCUCACUCGAUACAUAUGCAUGCAUGUUUAUUUAUUUAUUUAUUUUAGAUGGUGCACAAAGGCUCUAAACAAAACCAGUGUAAUAAGCUGCAUAUGAUUUAUUAGCUAUGAGAUCUGAGGGCUCUGCAAUUUUGUGAGAAUAUAAAUUUUCACUUUCACCACUUAUGUAUAUAGAAAUGUUGCUUGCUUUUGUAUCUUCAUUUCAAAAUUUAAAUAUUACGGAAAUGCUAUAUUUGUUCAUUCAUGUCUUAUUCAAAACCAUGAUGUUGAGCAGGAUGAGUAUAUUUGAAUGUAGUACAAUCAUUUCAACUCUUUGUCCUUCUAUUAUUGAAAUUGAAAAAAAUAGUUUGGAAAUGGUUUCACGGUUUGGUUUUGGAUUACAAGUAUAGGUUCAUGUUAAUGUCUAUGUAUUAAUGUAUUAUGCUUUCUUUAUUUUCACCAAGUUCAUAUAUUUUUAUUGCAUUCCUAUUUUGCUUCCCAUUUCCAUGUCUGGCUUCAGAACAUGUUGUCCACAUGUUAAAUCUAUUUGUUCUGCAACAUUUUUGUUUGCGUGUAUUCCAAUUUAUAGUCAUUGUUUCUUAAUAGCUGUGUUUUCGGUGAUAUUAUUUUUAUGUUACUUUGUUUAAUGAUUAAUCUGGUGUUUAACUUGAUUUGACUUUGAUGCGUUAUAUUGCAUCAUCUAUCGUUUAUGGAGGCUUUUAACACACCGACUUUUAACACUCCUGUGCUUUAAGCUUGUGACAUCAAAAUAUUUUCUCACAAAACCUGAAACUAAGUUUGACAACUAUUGGGUUUAUGGAGGCAAUAGCAGAUCCGGCGCCAGACAUGACCAUCUAGGUGAAAGCAAAAAGAAUGUUGGAAAAUCACCUAAAAGUUGAAAAGCACCUUGGAAUGUGGCAGAGGGAGUCCUGCAGUAGCUGACACUGAAAAUGGUGGCCGGAGAGAAGCUCAUGUGCGGAUCUGGGAGUUGAGGACCCACUUGCAGGAAAGGCAGAGGCACGCACGCAGAAGCGCGUGUCGAUAUGUUGUUACGCGUACAAUUAUGGAGUACCAUUUUAAGUGCUAAUGUGAAGUACCACUCUAAAGUAGUAAUCUGAACCUUUUUUUUUUUAAGAAGCUAAAUUAGCCCACCCAAAUUGGCACCAGAGAGAAUCGAAACUCAGAACUCAAGAGGAGCACACUUCUAGGUCCCAAGUCAAUACCAAUGCACCAACUCAAGUGGGUUUACUAAUCUGAACCU